CCUACGGGAGGCAGCAGUGAGGAAUAUUGGUCAAUGGGCGAGAGCCUGAACCAGCCAAGUCGCGUGAGGGAAGACGGUCCUAUGGAUUGUAAACCUCUUUUGCCGGGGAGCAAAACGCGGUACGUGUACCGCAUCGAGCGUACCCUGAGAACAAGCAUCGGCUAACUCCGUGCCAGCAGCCGCGGUAAUACGGAGGAUGCGAGCGUUAUCCGGAUUUAUUGGGUUUAAAGGGUGCGCAGGCGGCGAGUUAAGUCAGCGGUAAAAUUUCGGGGCUCAACCCCGACAAGCCGUUGAAACUGGCGUGCUAGAGUGGGCGAGAAGUAUGCGGAAUGCGUGGUGUAGCGGUGAAAUGCAUAGAUAUCACGCAGAACUCCGAUUGCGAAGGCAGCAUACCGGCGCCCAACUGACGCUCAGGCACGAAAGCGUGGGUAUCGAACAGGAUUAGAUACCCCGGUAGUC
rnacentral:rRNA from 1 species